UACGGAGAGUGCAAACGUUGUUCGGAUUCACUGGGCGUAAAGGGCACGUAGGCGGCUCGGCAAAUCGGUCGUGGAAUCCCGACGCUUACCGUCGGAACGGCGGCCGAAAAUACCGGGCUCGAGGGCGUGAGGGGUCACUGGAACUCCUGGUGAAGCGGUGAAAUGCGUAGAUAUCAGGAGGAACACCGGUGGCGAAGGCGGAUCUCUGGGCCUUACCUGACGCUCAGGCACGAAAGCUAGGGGAGCGAACAGG
rnacentral:rRNA from 1 species